GGUCAUGAGUACCAGCGCAAAGCCCCGGCUCGCUGGUCGGCAACCCUCCUCCGCGGUGGGGUGCUCCGGGUGACGACCUGGCCGACGCCGGAGAACCGGUGCGGCAAGCGCGGACU
rnacentral:ncRNA from 1 species